rnacentral:rRNA from 1 species
GACGAACCGUCCAAACGUUAUUCGGAAUUACUGGGCUUAAAGGGUGCGUAGGCGGCUCUGCAAGUUGGGUGUGAAAUCCCUAGGCUCAACCGAGGAAUGGCGCCCAAAACUGUGGAGCUCGAGGGAGACAGAGGUGAGUGGAACUUGUGGUGGAGCGGUGAAAUGCGUUGAUAUAACAAGGAACACCGGUGGCGAAAGCGGCUCACUGGGUCUCUUCUGACGCUGAGGCACGAAAGCUGGGGGAGCGAACGGGAUUAGAUACCCCGGUAGUCCCUGAG